AUCAGCAGCCAUAUCACCCUGCAGCCCAAGACUGGUUGCCCACUGAAGCUAAGCAGGGUUGAGCCUGGUCAGUACCUGGAUGGGAGACCUCCUGGGAAAACUAGGUUGCUGCUGGAA
rnacentral:rRNA from 1 species